GGAGAACUCAACUUUUCAGACUGGCUUGGAGAAAUAGGUGGGGAUUAUCAUGUCUCUUCCUACAGGCUCUGUCACUAAUGAAUGGUUUAAAGAAAUUAUUUCUAAAUACAAGAAAGUGCUGGGGUUUUCCUUAGUUUUGUGUCUGAUUGCAGUGGAUCUUAAUGUAAUGCAAAAUGUUGUGGUUUUUUUUAGUAAAAAAUAAAUUCCACCACUAACAGGGACUUUCAGCGUUAAGAUGCAGCAAAUGCCUCUCUUUCCUAAAGCAGUGUAGCAGAGCAAUGGAGUAUACACACUCCCUUAAGGAGAGGGUUUUUUUUUCCAGUGUUUUUCUGUAUGCUUUGAUUGGCUACUGUCUGGACUCUACUCCACAAAAUAAACAAAUCUUUGUUUAGGUGAAUUGUAUGCUUGAAAAGGGACGUGUUUCCUGAGCCCUUCGGCCCCCACCCAUCACGGAAAGAAAGCCAGGCUAGCCUGCUAAGAACUCCCCUCCCAGAAAUGGAUGUAGUAGUGGAAAUUGGGGAUUAUAUAGGUUUGAAAGUCAAGUUUUUCGCAAUAGUUUUUGAAACUGGUGGACAAGCAGACUAGAAGGCAGGCAAUGUGGAAGGUGGCCUAUUGUCAUUGUGUAUCACUGGAAACAUGCUUGGUGCUUUUGGAGAGGGGCUGACUGGACUUGGCCUUUUAGACCAUUGUAUGCCAGAAAUGGACUCAAAACUACAGCUCAAGCUCCCAUGUUAAGAUUGUUUUGUCAGAGAGACGUUUACUAGAUCAAUAAAAUCUGAUUUCUAAAAUAUUUCCAGAUAAUAUAUAUAAUAUAAUCUAAACAAAACUUGGCACUUGAACAGAGCAAAAACAACAGUAGCUAAAAG